GAAGCUGACCAGACAGUCGCCGCUUCGUCGUCGUCCUCCUUCGGGGGAGACGGGCGGAGGGGAGGAAAGUCCGGGCUCCAUAGGGCAAGGUGCCAGGUAACGCCUGGGGGGUGUCACAGCCCACGACCAGUGCAACAGAGAGCAAACCGCCGAUGGCCCGCGCAAGCGUGGAUCAGGUAAGGGUGAAAGGGUGCGGUAAGAGCGCACCGCGCGGCUGGUAACAGUCCGCGGCACGGUAAACUCCACCCGGAGCAAGGCCAAAUAGGGGUUCAUAAGGUACGGCCCGUACUGAACCCGGGUAGGCUGCUUGAGCCAGUGAGCGAUUGCUGGCCUAGAUGAAUGACUGUCCACGACAGAACCCGGCUUAUCGGUCAGUUUCACCU
rnacentral:RNase_P_RNA from 1 species